GAUGAACGCUAGCGGCAGGCCUAAUACAUGCAAGACGAACGGUAAGUUGAGUAGCAAUACUUAGCCAAGAGUGUCGUACGGGUGCGUAACACGUAUGCAACCUACCCUAUACAGGAGGAUAGCCUAGGGAAACCUGGAUUAACCCUUCAUAGUAUUAUUGGAUGGCAUCAUUUGAUAGUUAAAACUGAGGUGGUAUAGGAUGGGCAUGCGUCUGAUUAGUUAGUUGGCGGGGUAAUGGCCCACCAAGACGAUGAUCAGUAGGGGUUCUGAGAGGAAGAUCCCCCACACUGGCACUGAGAUACGGGCCAGACUCCUACGGGAGGCAGCAGUAGGGAAUAUUGGGUCAAUGGAUGCAAGUCUGAACCAGCCAUGCCGCGUGCAGGAAGAAGGCCUUCUGGGUUGUAAACUGCUUUUGCCAGGGGAUAAAAUUUCCAUGCGUGGAAAACUGAAGGUACCUGGUGAAUAAGCCACGGCUAACACGUGCCAGCAGCCGCGGUAAU
rnacentral:rRNA from 1 species